UACGUAGGGGGCUAGCGUUGUCCGGAUUUAUUGGGCGUAAAGAGCGUGUAGGCGGCCAGGUAGGUCUGCUGUGAAAACUCGAGGCUCAACCUCGAGACGUCGGCGGAAACCAUCUGGCUAGAGUCCGGAAGAGGAGAGUGGAAUUCCUGGUGUAGCGGUGAAAUGCGCAGAUAUCAGGAAGAACACCCGUGGCGAAGGCGGCUCUCUGGGACGGUCACUGACGCUGAGACGCGAAAGCGUGGGGAGCGAACAGGAUAGAAACCC
rnacentral:rRNA from 1 species